rnacentral:rRNA from 1 species
GUCGAGAAUAAUUCACAAUGGACGAAAGUCUGAUGGUGCAACGCCGCGUGGAGGAUGACGGUCUUCGGAUUGUAAACUCCUGUCAUCUGGGAGUAAGACCUGACGGUGAAUAGCCGGCAGGGUUGAUAGUACCAGAAGAGGAAGGGACGGCUAACUUCGUGCCAGCAGCCGCGGUAAUACGAAGGUCCCAAGCGUUGUUCGGCAUCACUGGGCGUAAAGGGAGCGUAGGCGGCGUGGUAAGUCAGAUGUGAAAUCCCGGGGCUCAACCCCGGAACUGCAUCCGAUACUGCCAUGCUUGAGGGUUGGAGAGGUAGCUGGAAUUCUCGGUGUAGCAGUGAAAUGCGUGGAUAUCGAGAGGAACACUCGUGGCGAAGGCGAGCUACUGGACAACAUCUGACGCUGAGGCUCGAAGGCUAGGGGAGCAAAAGGGAUUAGAUACCCGUGUAGUCC